GACAGAGGGUGCAAACGUUGUUCGGAUUUACUGGGCGUAAAGCGCGUGUAGGCGGCUUGGCAAGUCGGAUGUGAAAGCCCACGGCUCAACCGUGGAAGGGCAUCCGAAACGGCCUCGCUCGAGUCUCGGAGAGGAAGGUGGAAUGCUUGGUGUAGAGGUGAAAUUCGUAGAUAUCAAGCAGAACACCUGCGGCGAAGGCGGCCUUCUGGACGAUGACUGACGCUGAGACGCGAAAGCGUGGGGAGCAAACAGG
rnacentral:rRNA from 1 species